GAGCAAGGGCGUCUUUGAUUAUAAUGGCGUGAAUUGCAUUGAAGGUUGGCAAUACUAACGUUUAGCGAUUCUCCGUGCCUGGCAAAUCUUUUGGUUUUGAUCAUGGCCUCGAACAAGUCGCUACAUU
rnacentral:snoRNA from 1 species